GCGCGAGUAGCUCAGCUGGGAGAGCAUCUGGUUUACACCCAGGGGGUCGCGGGUUCGAGUCCUGCCUCGCGCACCA
rnacentral:tRNA from 1 species